AGUGUUGGAGCAUAGAAGCAUAGAAAAAUUGUAAACAAACAGAUACUGUAAAAGCAGGAAGGUAAAAAGAGAUUCUGGCGUGGUUAAAGAUAGAAUUUACGGGAGAUUAGUAGAAAAUUUGAUAGUAAAAGUGAAGUUCGGAAAGAUAGAUCAGUUGGAAGUGAAAGAUAGUGUUGCAUCGUUGGUAAUAAUUCAGGCAGUUUAAGGUUGGGGAAAUCGCAUGCAAGGAAAAACUAGAUUUUUGAAGCUGUUUAAAGUGAAACUGCUGUUCAAAACUGUUUUUACUUGUCUUGGCCGAAAACGUGAAACCCAACAAACUUCAAAAAUCUAGUUCGGAGAACAUAACCUGUGAGAAUGCGCUCAUCACUUUCCAAAGA